ACCAAUAACUAAGCAAAUAAAUAAAUGCCCAAACCUUUCAUCAAAAUUUCCAUCUACUCCUCACUUCUCCGACGUCUUUGUGAUCGCCGAACUACACUCCGGGGACCAAUAAUGUCUCAGUCCUUGCUCUCUCAUUCUAUGCACCUCGCACCACCCUCCUCCUCACCUGCCAAUCCUAUAGGUCCCACCUUUCACCGCCGGUUGAUCAAUUUUCCGGCCAUUCAUGGUUCGCCGCUCCGGCCACCGAUGCUCCGGUCAAUGACCACUCCGGCUAGAUGCUGCUCCGCACUUCCGCUUGACUUCAAAGGCGGCCAAAGAAUGAGUGGAUUCCAUGAAAUUGAACUCAAAGUCCGGGACUAUGAAUUGGAUCAAUACAAUGUCGUAAACAAUGCUGUUUAUGCGAGUUAUUGCCAGCACGGUCGGCAUGAACUUCUGGAAAGAAUUGGUGUAAAUGCAGAUGAAGUUGCACGCUCUGGUGAUGCAUUAGCACUGUCAGAGCUGUCGCUUAAGUUUAUUGCACCUUUAAAGAGCGGAGACAGGUUCGUUGUGAAGGUGAGGAUAUCUGACUUGUCAGCUGCUCGUUUAUUCUUUGAGCACUUCAUCUUCAAGCUUCCGAACGAAGAGCCCAUUCUGGAGGCCACAGGAGUAGCAGUGUGGCUUAACAAAAGUUAUCGUCCAGUCCGAAUUCCUGCAGAGUUUAGAUCCAAAUUUGUUCAGUUCCUUCGUAAGGUUGAAUCAAGCUAGCAUUCCCACAAAAAGGAGAGUUUUAGUUCCACCAAAGGAGAUAACAAGUCUCAGAUUGUUUGUUGUGUCGGUUAAUCAAACAAAAAAUUGAUGGCGGAAGGGGAGAUAUCAGUAGGUCAAGAGCAGAUGCUGCUCCACCAGCAGAAGAACAAAGUGAUGGUUGCUAUAGACGAUAGCGAAA